rnacentral:sRNA from 1 species
CACACACACAUACACCACAAAUAACAAAUAAAUAUAAUUUAAAAAUAGGCCCAAAGUCUCUGACCGCAGUGCUCCUUGCUGACGUCAGAUAAGGCCCACCCUUCUGAUGACAGACAGAGAGACACAGACACACAGACACAGCAGUGCCACCCAGAUACUUGAGAGCUUGGACUAUUUCUGCCUUCAGAUCUGUGACAUUUAGACCCUUUAUCCUCUAGAGCUGUGGCUAGAGUUUUAGACUGGAGGGCUUUUGGUCUUUGAGGGGUUUAGCUUGGGAUGGUGGCAUUCAGGUGUGUCUUUCAGGAUUCUGCUUGACUCCACUCGUGUGCUGCCUGACUCUAGAGAAAUGCUUUCUUGAAUAGGUCUUGAAUAGGUUCCACACACAAACAUGCAGACAGAUAGCAAACACUCAGUUAGGCACACUAAUUCAAGUGUCCAGGCCUGGCUCCUGUGGGGGCUUCCUGCUUUUUCCAGAUUUCUCUCCUUCCUAGUGUUCUGUCUCCCUUCCCUGGGGCUGUUGUCCCACAUGCCAGAGAUGAAGGCUAUGGCUUCAGUGUGUAUGGCACUCCUCUCUGGACCACAGGGGGCUGCGUAUCUAGAGUCAAACAAGUUCGGGGACCUGAAGGGUUCGGAUGUACCCUGUGUUGAGAUAGAGAAAGGAAGUGGCCCACGAGACCCGUUCCAGGAUGUACCAUGUGGUUUUAGGUAUUAAUUCAUUAAUGGGCUUGGGAGAGCCCACCUGAGCUUGGCGACAAGGACAUCUUGACACAGAUGGUGUUAGAGCAGCCUCACCACCCCCUUCUCGGAGCAACACACCACAUCUACUGGCUUCUACAUACACAAGAAAACUCGUGUAACUGAAGCUGUUGAUGUUGAAGCAAAUAUGGGCAUCUCCUUGCAGAAACAGAGCAUGUAUUUCGCCUGGGUGUGCGAGGCACACUCCCCUGAGUGUGGUGCGAAGGGAGUUCGUCCAGAGGGCCUUCCCCUCAGCAGUUCCAGGCCCACAACAUCAGUAACUGUUCCCAAGGUGUCUCCACUGUAACAUUCACCCUCUACUAAAAAGCCAGCUGACAUGAGCAGAAUACAUUUUACAAAUAUAUGAGUUUCUCAAAGAGUAAAUAGAAAUAUUAAAAGGGGGGUAAAAGCCAGCUGGAAGGGGAUGCAGAAGGGCAGGCACUGUGGGAGGGCUCAAGUAACCUAAAGCACUAAGUCUGGGCACCAACGGUAGUACAGCUUUCAGAGAGACAAGCAUCUGUGCCUCUGCUCCUCUGAGCCUUUUAAACUGGCUGUUAACCAUUGAUGCUGAGUAUGGAGCCUAUGGGCCCAAGUUGUGGCCUCACUAUGUACAGGACAGAAAUUGGUCAGUACCCUGCAACUUAAAAGAUGUUACUGUGCCCCUCCCUGGGGACUAGCUUUCAUGGUACCCGAAGGCACCAUGCAGGCUUUCAAAGGAGGGAGGCAGGCAGCAACCCUGCCCAGCUAUGACACCUGUGAACCACAUCAACAGCCAGCAUGGCCCAGUAACCCUAUCUGUGCAGUAGCACAUAGACCUUGGAGGUAACUAACUGCUCUAUUUGGAUUUAAGGCCUCAACAGGAGGGAAACCAUGUUUGUACUUGAGACCUAACCACCUACUCAUUGCUAGUGAAGUCAUGGUUAUUGGAGGAUACGCUACAACCACCAAUUUACUAAACCAACGUAUUCUCUAACAACAAUCUACAAACAUUUGUCCUUACACCCACAGAAGAGUGUAGUCUGUACCCCUCAUCACAGAAACUUCUCUUUGUGACGGGCAGAGACCGCUACAAAAACCUACAACCAAUCAGUACACAGAGUUGUGAAGCCCAGACACAGUCAGUACAUCUACCAAACAUUGACACCUGAGGCUCAGGGGUAAUUGCAGAAGAGGGGGCAGAAAGAUUGUAUGAGCUGGAAGAUCAGGGACUUUGCUGUGAGAUCUGUCUCCUAGCAACAUCAUAAGCUACAUCCAUAAAGUCUCACCAGCAUGACUGUCCAAAUGUAAACUGAACAAGGACCUCAGCGAACACGCCAAACAGCACGGGGAGGAAAGCCCAUCCACGGUGAGGUCAGCCUACAUAAAGAACUACAGGCAACUGAGUAACGCUGGGCACAGCAGAGGCGGUCCGCCCAGGGAAGAGCAUCCCGAUUGGUUGUCCAGUGCCAAAUUGUCAGCCCUGAAAAUACACAUACAAGUAACAUUAUAUGGACCAACAGGCUCUAUCUGGGAAUAUUUUUGUAUAUACGAAGACAUAAAGGCAUGCAAUAACAGAAAAACAAGGCCAUGAAUUUGAAGGAGAGAGAAGGGGCAUAUGAGAAGGUUUAGAGGAAGGAAGGGAAAGGAAACAUGUUGUAAUUAAAAUACAAUCUCAAAAGUAAAAAUAGAGUCCACCUCAUUGGUGUCCCAGGAGAAAGUGACCACAGCUUUUCCAAAAUCCACACUCCUGUUUAAAGAAUGGUUUUAAAAAAAAAAAGUCCCAGCCUGUGGGACAAUCAUUCAGGCUACGCACAAAAAACCAGGUUUGGUAAAGACAGCUGUGUCUGUCUGCCACCGUGUCUAUCUGUCCCUGGAGGUACAAACCAGGACACAGGAGCCCAUCAGAGGAAGGAGCAAGAACUCAAAUGGGAGCAGAGGGUCACUCCACCAUCUUCUCAAGUCCAGGAAGCAGGUGGUGCCUCAUGGUGGAGACCAGAGAGGUGUGACGAGAGGUGAGCUCCACCCCAAGCGGAGGCUGCUCAUCAGACUUCCCACCACACAGAAGGGAGGUGGCAGGGUAGCCCUGGGUGUGACGACUGUCCUUCGAAGAUACAGAUCACCUGCAGCCUGUCUCACCUUUCCUGCCCUCCACUAACACAUGCCUUUUCCUGCUUAGGUGCUUCUUUGAGUCAGAGUACAGACCUUUCACAGGUCUCUCCGGGGGCAGUGUUGGCAUCCUCUCUGUUGUGUGUCAUCCAAAUAGACUACAGAGCGUUGGUCUUCCUCAUCUGCUCACUCACCUCAGCUGGGUUGUAUCACCUCCUGCCUGGAUAGUCUACAUAGGGCCUUCCUUUGGCCCCAUAAGUGCCUCCAACCUUGAGGGUACAGGACCCAGGGAGACAGUGACUGCUGGACUUUCCCAGAGACAUCAGCCUGGCACAUUCACAGCCAGAUCUUAUACCAGCUGAGCACCUUCUUCAGAGAAACUGAAUUGUCACCUUGCUACUGUCAAAGGCACAUAGUGAAGAGCUGUGGGCAGAACUGGACUUCAGGAGAAGGUCAGGAACUUCAGCAACCAGCUUGGCCCCUCUAUGCCCGCCGGGGUCUGUUCAGGCACCUCAGGGGCUAGACAGCCUUCCAAGGAAGCCUGCUCCACAUUAGAGCAGUGUGUCUAACUGGGUUGAGGUCUAGUCUCGAAGAGCCUUGAGUGUAUGACCUCCAGGAUCACAAGUAAAAUGCCUGGGUCAGCCUUGGCUUCCAUAGGGCCAGGCCUGGUCCCUUUGCAGUGUCUCCAAGAGAGUGAUGCAGGGCCUGACUCCUCUGCAUACACACAGUUAACACAUGUAAGGCACACACAUGUGCACAGCUUGGUCUCUGUUUAAAUACACCUCAGGGAGGGCACAACCUAGGAUCGGCCUCUGUAAGCACAAGCCUGUCUCAGAUCUCUCUGCCUUUUAUCUGCACAGGGGCAGGCAGAACAGGAAGUCCUGGGUCCUUGUUAUUUCCGGGGCUACUUCCUGCACCAGUGGACCACCAAGACCUUUCCCUGAGCUCGACAAGAACCACUCAGACCUGAAAAAGAGAUGGCCCAAGAAGGUGGUGUACCUGGCAGCCAAGUCCACAGGAGAGGGUGUCGCUUUCAGAACCAAGUUUUGAGGCCACCCAGGGAAGCUGAAUAAAUCAGGUUCAUGGACCACCUGCCCAGGGUGGGGGCUCAACCCACAGCGAGCUAAGCCUUCUUCUAUCAGUUAACAAUCAAGAAAAUGCCCCGCCCAUAGACAUACACAAGCCAAUCUGAUGAAGGCAGUGCCUCAAUUGAUGUUCUGUUUUCCCAUGUAUAUCAAGUUGAUGACCAAGAUUAGCCAUAGCAACUGGGAACUAAGGGUAAACACGGUAGUCUGGAGGCACAUUUAAGCAUAACGCCUUAAGACUGACCAAUGGGUCUGGCAGCUCUAGCCUUAAAGUCCAUUGCUUACUGCUUAUACCAAGGGCAUUAAAAAAAAAAAAAA